rnacentral:rRNA from 1 species
CUAUUAGACUGAAACCACUUUAUAUAACAAUUAUAAAACUUUUAGCAACGGAUCUCUGGGCUCUCGCAACGAUGAAGAACGCAGCGAAUUGCGAAAAGUAAUGUGAAUUGCAUAUACCGUGAAUCAUCAAAUCUUUGAACGCACCUUGCACCAUUGGGAACUCCCGAUGGUACGUCUGUUUGAGUAUCAAUCAACACCUGCAAACUUUGCUUUUAACCGAGCCAUACUUUGCAUAUCGAUUGGAUAGUUAUAUUACUACCGAUUUAGAUACAUAGUCUAGCCACGCUAGUCAACAGAGUUUAACACUUCUGAGUGAUGAAUGUAGCAGCAUGACUGGGGCUUCUUGAAGUCUUUAACUUUGAUCUCAAAUCAGACGAGGAUACCCGCUGAACUUAA